rnacentral:rRNA from 1 species
AUGGCAUCGAAGCUCCUGCGGAUGGCCCGUGACGCAUCCCGAGCUCGCACCGCUGCGGCAGCCGCAUCUCGCGCCGCCGCGAUGUCCUCCCGCUCAGCGUGUGGCCGUGAGGAAUCCCCCCCAUCUCGCACCGACGCGGCAGCCACAUCUCGCGCCCCUACGGCAGCCUCCCGCUCAGCGCGUGAGGCCGCCGCUUCAGGCGUCAUAGCUCCCCGCCCAACUCGCACGAAGCCCCGCGACCAUGCUCCCCUCUCUCCCCCCUUGGAGAACUCACGCACCGAUUACGAGCUCUUCUUGAUAGACGAUGUUGAUACCCCGACGGAGAAGGACCUCGAGUCGGAGGAAUCCCAAUGGGCCUAUUAUCAGCGCUGGUGCGAGGCUCAUGACAAGAAGCAUGACCAUGACGAGAUGGCUCGCCGGUUUGAUGCUUUCCGAAGUCGGGCACGGUCGGUGCACCAAUGGAACGUUGGUCUUCCUUUAGAUCCAGUUAAAGCAGCCAUUGCCAAAAAGAAAAAAGAAAAGGUCAGGUUACUUCUGUCAAAAGGCAAAAGCAUCUCAAAGUUCGAUGAAUGCCUUGUGCCAAUGGAAUUAGGUCCAUUUGCCGAUGAGCCCUUCAGUGAUGUUGAAGAUGUUACAGCAGAGUAG